rnacentral:rRNA from 1 species
GAGGGGCAGCGGUGGUGAAGGCUUGCCUUUACCAGCCGGCGACCGGCGCACGGGUGAGUAACACGUAUGCAACCUGCCUGCCACAGCCGGAUAAUCGGGAGAAAUUCCGUCUAAUACGGCAUAAUGCAUCGACGGGACAUCCUGUUGGUGCCAAAGGUUGAUUCCGGUGGCGGAUGGGCAUGCGUCGCAUUAGUUAGUUGGCGGUGUAACGGACCACCAAGACGACGAUGCGUAGGGGUUCUGAGAGGAAGGUCCCCCACACUAGUACUGAGACACGGACCAGACUCCUACGGGAGGCAGCAGUGAGGAAUAUUGGUCAAUGGGCGGGAGCCUGAACCAGCCAAGUCGCGUGAGGGAUGACGGCCCUAUGGGUUGUAAACCUCUUUUGCCGGGGAGCAAAGUGCCGCACGUGUGCGGUUUGGAGAGUACCCGGAGAAAAAGCAUCGGCUAACUCCGUGCCAGCAGCCGCGGUAAUACGGAGGAUGCGAGCGUUAUCCGGAUUUAUUGGGUUUAAAGGGUGCGUAGGCGGACGCUUAAGUCAGCGGUAAAAUUGCGGGGCUCAACCUCGUCGAGCCGUUGAAACUGGGUGCCUUGAGUGGGCGAGAAGUACGCGGAAUGCGUGGUGUAGCGGUGAAAU